rnacentral:rRNA from 1 species
GACGAACGCUGGCGGCGUGCUUAACACAUGCAAGUCGAACGAAGUGGCGAACGGGUGAGUAACGCGUAAUAAACCUGCCCUUCAGUGGGGGACAACAGUUGGAAACGACUGCUAAUACUGCAUACUGCAGGAGGGGUUUGCGUCUGAUUAGUGAGUUGGAGGGGUAACGGCCGACAAAGGCGAUGAGCAGGAGCGGGGCUGAGAGGAUGAACGGCCACGUUGGGACGGAGACACGGCCCAGACUCCUACGGGAGGCAGCAGUGGGGAAGCGUCCGCAAUGGACGAAAGUCGGACGGAGCAACGCCGAGUGAGUGAUGACGGCCUUCGGGUUGUAAAGCGCUGUUAAUCGGGACGCGGUACCGGAAUAGAAAGCCACGGCUAACUACGUGCCAGCAGCCGCGGUAAUAC